rnacentral:rRNA from 1 species
UUGGGACUGAGACACGGCCCAAACUCCUACGGGAGGCAGCAGUGGGGAAUCUUGCGCAAUGGGCGAAAGCCUGACGCAGCCAUGCCGCGUGAAUGAUGAAGGUCUUAGGAUUGUAAAAUUCUUUCACCGGGGACGAUAAUGACGGUACCCGGAGAAGAAGCCCCGGCUAACUUCGUGCCAGCAGCCGCGGUAAUACGAAGGGGGCUAGCGUUGCUCGGAAUUACUGGGCGUAAAGGGAGCGUAGGCGGACUGUUUAGUCAGAGGUGAAAGCCCAGGGCUCAACCUUGGAAUUGCCUUUGAUACUGGCAGUCUUGAGUACGGAAGAGGUAUGUGGAACUCCGAGUGUAGAGGUGAAAUUCGUAGAUAUUCGGAAGAACACCAGUGGCGAAGGCGACAUACUGGUCCGUUACUGACGCUGAGGCUCGAAAGCGUGGGGAGCAAACAGGAUUAGAUACCCUGGUAGUCCACGCCGUAAACGAUGAGUGCUAGUUGUCGGCAUGCAUGCAUGUCGGUGACGCAGCUAACGCAUUAAGCACUCCGCCUGGGGAGU